UACGAGGGGGGCGAGCGUUGUUCGGAAUUAUUGGGCGUAAAGGGUGCGUAGGCGGUUUGGUAAGUCUGAUGUGAAAUCUAUGGGCUCAACUCAUAGUCUGCAUCGGAAACUGCCGGGCUUGAGUAUGGGAGAGGUGAGUGGAAUUUCUGGUGUAGCGGUGAAAUGCGUAGAUAUCAGAAGGAACACCCAUGGCGAAGGCAGCUCGCUGGCCUACAACUGACGCUGAGGCGCGAAAGCGUGGGUAGCAAACAGG
rnacentral:rRNA from 1 species